rnacentral:rRNA from 1 species
GACGAACGCUGGCGGCGUGCCUAAUACAUGCAAGUCGAGCGGGUGAUGGAGGAGCUUGCUCCUCCUGAUUCAGCGGCGGACGGGUGAGUAACACGUGGGCAACCUGCCCUGUAGAUUGGGAUAACUCCGGGAAACCGGGGCUAAUACCGAAUAACCCACCGGACCUCAUGGUCUGGUGUUGAAAGACGGCAUCUCGCUGUCACUACAGGAUGGGCCCGCGGCGCAUUAGCUAGUUGGUGAGGUAACGGCUCACCAAGGCCACGAUGCGUAGCCGACCUGAGAGGGUGAUCGGCCACACUGGGACUGAGACACGGCCCAGACUCCGACGGGAGGCAGCAGUAGGGAAUCUUCCACAAUGGACGAAAGUCUGAUGGAGCAACGCCGCGUGAGUGAAGAAGGUUCUCGGAUCGUAAAACUCUGUUGUGAGGGAAGAACAAGUACCGGAGUAACUGCCGGUACCUUGACGGUACCUCAUUAGAAAGCCACGGCUAACUACGUGCCAGCCGCCGCAGUAAUAC